UGUUCGGCCUCCAUAUUUGGCACCAGGUAU
rnacentral:piRNA from 1 species